AAUUGACGGGACCCGCACAAGCGGUGGAUGAUGUGGAUAAUUCGAUGCAACGCGAAGAACCUUACUACCCUUGACAUGUCCGGAACUUGCCAGAGAUGGCUUGGUGCCCGAAAGGGAAUCGGAACACAGGUGCUGCAUGGCUGUCGUCAGCUCGUGUCGUGAGAUGUUGGGUUAAGUCCCGCAACGAGCGCAACCCUUAUCAUUAGUUGCUACGCAAGGGCACUCUAAUGAGACUGCCGGUGACAAACCGGAGGAAGGUGGGGAUGACGUCAAGUCCUCAUGGCCCUUAUGGGUAGGGCUUCACACGUCAUACAAUGGUCGGUACAGAGGGUUGCCAAGCCGCGAGGCGGAGCCAAUCCCACAAAGCCGAUCGUAGUCCGGAUUGUUCUCUGCAACUCGAGAGCAUGAAGUCGGAAUCGCUAGUAAUCGCAGGUCAGCAUACUGCGGUGAAUACGUUCCCGGGUCUU
rnacentral:rRNA from 1 species